AGCGAACGCUGGCGGCAGGCCUAACACAUGCAAGUCGAACGAACUCUUCGGAGUUAGUGGCGGACGGGUGAGUAACACGUGGGAACGUGCCUUUUGGUUCGGAAUAACUCAGGGAAACUUGUGCUAAUACCGAAUGUGCCCUUCGGGGGAAAGAUUUAUCGCCAUUAGAGCGGCCCGCGUCUGAUUAGCUAGUUGGUGAGGUAACGGCUCACCAAGGCGACGGUCAGUAGCUGGUCUGAGAGGAUGACCAGCCACACUGGGACUGAGACACGGCCCAGACUCCUACGGGAGGCAGCAGUGGGGAAUCUUGCGCAAUGGGCGAAAGCCUGACGCAGCCAUGCCGCGUGAAUGAUGAAGGUCUUAGGAUUGUAAAAUUCUUUCACCGGGGACGAUAAUGACGGUACCCGGAGAAGAAGCCCCGGCUAACUUCGUG
rnacentral:rRNA from 1 species